UCAACGUGACCGACAAUAUAACAAAGGUUUCCUCCACAACUUCACCAGUCUUUCAAGUCGAUUUGAUUUGAGAAGUCAGAAAGCACUCGGGAGAAGCUCACGAAAGCCCUACUUUAAUCAGCUAGAGAGAGAAGGCGAGAAUUCUCAACAACGAUGAAUAAGGGAGUACUGCUACUGUUGUUCAUUGCUGUGUUCAUGGUCCUGUCCCCUGUUAGUGCUCUGGUCAUCACCAAGAAGAGGAACUUUCCUGGAGAGAGACGCUUGGGAAUUACAAAUUAUGGCCAGCACGAAUUUGGUCCUAAUGGUUUCCGGAGAAGACCUCAUUACAGACGGGGAUAACGAGAACAAUCCGCUAUAUCAAAAUAUUAAUAUGACGUUGUAAGAGCCUCCCAGACUGCCUGAGUCAUGACAACGAAAUUUGUUCUUGAAAUUAUUUUGUCUCGGAGAAGAAAAGAUGACAGACCGUGAACAGAAUGCACAUUGUGAUUUUCAUUUUGGCUUAUAUGAUGUUUUAGUCAUAUCAUAUUAACUGGCUUUAUGCUUUAUCUUUAAGUGAAUAGUUAUUAAAACCUAGUCUUAAUGUGUG